UACAGAGGUCUCAAGCGUUUGUUCGGAUUCAUUGGGCGUAAAGGGUGCGUAGGCGGCGGGGUAAGUCUGGUGUGAAAUCUCGGAGCUCAACUCCGAAAUUACACUGGAUACUGCUCUGCUAGAGGGCUGGAGAGGAGAUCGGAAUUCACGGGUGUAGCAGUGAAAUGCGCAGAUAUCGGGAGGAACACCAAUGGCGAAGGCAGCUCGCUGGGACGUACUGACGCUGAGACGCGAAAGCGUGGGGAGCGAACAGG
rnacentral:rRNA from 1 species